AUGCCAGUUGUGCCUGGAAUCCACAUUCCCAGGUGUCCCUGUUCCCCACCUGGCCCAGCCCAGAACAACAGGGGCCUCGCUGCAAACACUGGCCCCACACGUUCUGCCCCUAGGGUCUGCCUGAACCGGUCAUUUCUUUUCUGUUUCCCAAUUCUCUCCCUGGGACCAAGUGAGGAGAGCCAGGACUGCGGGAAAUUCUGUGAAUCAAAGAUGCAUCUGGAACAUGCUGGACAGUUUGGAGCCUGGUCUCCAGUAAUGGGAUCUGCAGAGGCGUCCGGCUCCCCAGUCUGCUGCCCGCAGGAGGAGCCCGAGUGGGAAGCCCGCCCAGGCUCGGGCGCCUGGCCUGGAGUUUCAGGGUGGCUCAAAACUGUGUCCCAGAACCUUUAUCAUGACCGCUUUUCUAGUCCUGCCUCCCUCCCCAUUCCUUCACACCUCAGACUCUGAGCCUUGACUGUUCUGGGUGCUGGGAGCUUUGGUGCCCCAGGAGCACCAGGUAGGAGCCCCAUCUUGGCCUCCCCCACAUCACACAAAACCCCCACAUGAAUCCCCUACCGCUUGCUGUCUGUCUGAGGAUUCUCAGAACCUGUCCACUGGUGGGAAUGUAAAUGACGGCCCCGGUGGAGAACAGCCCGGCAGUUCCUCAAAACUUAGACAUGGAAUUAUUGCAUGACACAGCAAUUCCACUCCGGGGUGUAUAAGAAUUGACAAUGGGGACUCAGACAGAUACUGCUACACACGUGUUCUCAGCAGCAUUGUUCACAAUAGUCACAUGUGGAAAAAGAUGUCCAUCAACAGAUAAAUGGAUAAACAAAACGUGGUCUAUACAGACAACAGGAUAUUAUCCCGCUAUAAAAAGGAAUGAAGUUCUGAUACAUGCUACAGCACGGAUGAACCUCGAAAACAUCAUGCUAAGUGAAAGAAGCCAGACACUAAAGACCACGUAUUGCAUGACUCCAUUUAUGUGAAAUGUUCAGAACAGGUAAAUCCAUAGAGACAGAAAGCAGCUCAGCGGUUGCCAGGGGCUGGGGGAGGGGAAGAGGCACAGACAGCUUCAUGGGUCCAGGGUUUCCUUCCGGGGGGUGAAAAUGCUUUGGAACUAGACAGAAGUAAUAGACGCACAACAUUGUGAAUGUACUAAAUGCCACAGAGUUGUACACUUUAAAAUGGUUAAUUUUGUGUUAUGUGAAUUUUACCUUAAAAAAUUUUUUUGAUUAAAAAAUUUUUUAAAAAUGAAAACUUUUUCCUCUGCCUACAAAUCUCGCAGCGCCCUGGUGUGCACAUAUGUCAUUCAAACCUCCAAAUGCUCACCCAGAACUUCAGAUUCAUGACAUGAGGUUGUUGGUGACACUGUCAAGGCAGGAAUUUGGGAUUGGCCUGUAAUGGGGUCAAGGGUGGGGGCCCCAAGGGCUGCUCUUCACCAGUGAGUGCAGCGGCCGGCCCAGGGCAGGUUCCGCCCCUCCCAGCUUCUCUCCUCUUCUCUCCUUGUCCCCAGGCACAUUGUAACUGCAUUUUGAGUUAACUGUAGGCAAUAGUGGUGGCUGAGAAUUAGGGGGAGAGAGAAGGCCUCAGGGCACAUCCUUUGUGGCUGACUGGGGACUACCGUGAGGCCCAGAUCUUCAGCUUGGGCGUCUAAGCUCAAUUGCUGGGCCUCACAACUCCCUAACAUCACUUCCAUUCCUCCUGAGGACACGCUGCUCCUCUACUUGUCACUCUCCUGGCCCCUCGAGGAUCAUUGCUACCUCCACAUCCCUGGCCGUGCAGGGCCCCUAGCAGGCCCUUCCUCUGCUCUCCAUUUACCCAGCACCACAUCUUCCGUAAAGGCCCUCCACUCCAGCCUCCAGUGACACCCACCUCCCCUGAACUCCUGGAGUAACUGUCUGGGCUUCGUCCUUGGGGUUUACUCUGCCCAGGCAAGGAUGUAGCUCCGUCAGAUGAAACUGAAGCUCAAAAUAUCCAAUAUCCGGGGGCUGGCCCCGUGGCCGAGUGGUUAAGUUCGCACGCUCCACUGAAGGCGGCCCAGUGUUUCGUUGGUUCGAAUCCUGGGUGCGGACAUGGCACUGCUCAUCAAACCACGCUGAGGCAGCGUCCCACAUGCCACAACUAGAAGGACCCACAACGAAGAAUAUACAACUAUGUACCAGAGGGCUUUGGGGAGAAAAAGGAAAAAAAUAAAAUCCUUAAAAAAAAAAAUCCA
rnacentral:lncRNA from 1 species